AACGAACGCUGGCGGCGUGCCUAACACAUGCAAGUCGAGCUAGAAAGUCCCGGCAACGGGAUGAGUAAAGCGGCAAACGGGUGAGUAACGCGUGGGUAAUCUACCCUACGGAUCGGGAUAACCUGCCGAAAGGUGGACUAAUACCGGAUGAUGUUCUCGCGGUGAUUCCGUGGGAACCAAAGGGGGCGAGCGUAAGCAGCUCUCACCGAAGGAGGAGCCUGCGUCCGAUUAGCUAGUUGGUGGGGUAAUGGCCUACCAAGGCGACGAUCGGUAGCCGGCCUGAGAGGGCGAUCGGCCACACUGGAACUGAGACACGGUCCAGACUCCUACGGGAGGCAGCAGUGGGGAAUAUUGCGCAAUGGGCGAAAGCCUGACGCAGCGACGCCGCGUGGGUGAUGAAGGCCUUCGGGUCGUAAAGCCCUGUCUGGUGGAACGAAACGCCUGGCGGCUAAUACCUGCCGGGUUUGACGGUACCACCGAAGGAAGCCCCGGCUAACUACGUGCCAGCAGCCGCGGUAAGACGUAGGGGGCGAGCGUUGUUCGGAUUUACUGGGCGUAAAGCGCGCGUAGGCGGCCAGAUAAGUCGGGUGUGAAAGCCCUCGGCUCAACCGAGGUUCCACAUCCGAUACUGCUUGGCUGGAGUCUAGGAGAGGAGAGCGGAAUUCCCAGUGUAGCGGUGAAAUGCGUAGAUAUUGGGAGGAACACCCGUGGCGAAGGCGGCUCUCUGGACUAGUACUGACGCUGAGGCGCGAAAACUAGGGGAGCGAACGGGAUUAGAUACCCCGGUAGUCCUAGCCGUAAACGAUGGGCACUAGGUGUGGGAGGUAUUGACCCCUUCCGCGCCGAAGCUAACGCAUUAAGUGCCCCGCCUGGGGAGUACGGCCGCAAGGCUAAAACUCAAAGGAAUUGACGGGGGCCCGCACAAGCGGUGGAGCAUGUGGUUCAAUUCGACGCAACGCGAAGAACCUUACCAGGGCUUGACAUCCCACGAACCUGCCUGAGAGGGCGGGGUGCCCGCAAGGGAGCGUGGAGACAGGUGGUGCAUGGCUGUCGUCAGCUCGUGUCGUGAGAUGUUGGGUUAAGUCCCGCAACGAGCGCAACCCUCACCCCUAGUUGCCACCGGGUAAUGCCGAGCACUCGAGGGGAACUGCCAGCGUCAAGCUGGAGGAAGGCGGGGAUGGCGUCAAGUCAUCAUGCCCCUUACGCCCUGGGCUACACACGUGCUACAAUGGCCGGUACAAAGGGAUGCGAGACCGUGAGGUGGAGCCAAUCCCAAAAAGCUGGUCUAAGUUCGGAUUGCAGUCUGCAACUCGACUGCAUGAAGUAGGAAUCGCUAGUAAUCGCGCAUCAGCACGGCGCGGUGAAUACGUUCCCGGGCCUUGUACACACCGCCCGUCACACCACGAAAGCUGGCUGUACUCGAAGUCGCUGAGCCAACCCGCAAGGGAGGCAGGCGCCGAAGGUAUGGUUAGUGAUUGGGGUG
rnacentral:rRNA from 1 species